AAGAUACUAGUUAAGUAUAACCUCACCUUGUCAAGGUGAAAUCGUGGGUUAGACCCCCACGUGUCUUA
rnacentral:tRNA from 1 species